UUUUAUUACCGAAGACCUAACAAGAAUCUCUGAAAACAGAUGGCCCUUGGUGGCAUAGUCCAAGGAGAUGUUUAUUUUUAUUUUUAUGGUUUUGAUACAGCUAACUGCAUCAUCUAAAUGCACAGUUGCUCAGAAAGAUCUCGGAAGAGGUUGACAGAAAGAUGGUCCUGGAAAUUAAACCGGGUAAGCUGGUCCAACCCAAAUGAGCUUGACCCGACAGAAUUGGAGCAACAAGAGGAACAUGGGUGGGCUCCACCAGUUGCAGGCAGUGAGGUCCUCCAUCUUCACUGUUGAAUGCAGAUAAAACAGGUCUUUGCUUUGUAAGGCCUCCACCGUGCAGAAAUGGCAGAGAACUCUUUGUCAUUGCUCCCCUCCUCCUCCUGACCCUUUCUCUCUCCUCUUUAUAAAGUGAGAGCAUGAGCUGCCCUUUCCUCAAGCAUGCCUUGGAUUAUUCUUUCUUUUUCAGUUUUUUAACUGUCAUCAAUGGCUCAUAACAUAAAGUUAAUGCAGAAAAGCUACACAGAUAUUU